ACGCUGUGGUGGGCAUACCAUGCUUGUCGAGCGUGUAGCGCAGGGGAGCUUGCUCUCUGCGUGAGGGGCGGAGGACGGGAGAGUAAUGUCUGGGACCUGCCUGAUGGAGGGGGAUAUUACUGAAAACGGUAGCUAAUACCGCAUAACGUCUACAGACCAAAGUGGGGGACCUUCGGGCCUCACGCCAUCAGAUGUGCCCAGAUGGGAUUAGCUAGUAGGUGGGGUAAUGGAUCACCUAGGCGACGAUCCCUAGCUGGACUGAGACGAGGCCCACUCCUACUGGGACUGAGCCCCGGCCCCCACUACAACGGGAAGGGGCUAUGAUUGAUAUUGGCGCGAAAGCCCGAGCCUGAUGCAACCCUUCCGCGUGUGUGAAUAAGGCCUUAGGGUUGUAAAGCACUUUCAGCGAGGAGGAAGGGUAGUGUGUUAAUAGCACAUUGCAUUUUUUGUUACUCGCAGAAGAAGCACCGGGUAACUCCGUGCCAGCAGCCGCGGUAAUACGGAGGGUGCAAGCGUUAAUCGGAAUUACUGGGCGUAAAGCGCACGCAGGCGGUUUGUUAAGUCAGAUGUGAAAUCCCCGCGCUUAACGUGGGAACUGCAUUUGAAACUGGCAAGCUAGAGUCUUUGUAGAGGGGGGUAGAAUUCCAGGUGUAGCGGUGAAAUGCGUAGAGAUCUGGAGGAAUACCCGGUGGCGAAGGCGGGCCCCCUGGACAAAGACUGACGCUCAGUGCGAAAGCGUGGGGAGCAACAGGAUUAGAUACCCUGGUACUCCACGCUGGACACGAUGUCGAUUUGGAUGUUGUGCCCUUGAGCGUGGCUUCCGGAGCUAACGCGUAAUCGACCGCCUGGGGAGUACGGCCGCAAGGUUAAACUCAAAUGAAUGACGGGGGCCCGCACAGCCGUGGAGCAUGUGGUUUAAUUCGAUGCAACCUGAAGAACCUUACCUACUCCUGACAUCCAAAAACUUUCCAGAGAUGGAUUGGUGGCCUUCGGAAUCCUGAACAGUGCUGCAUGGCCUGCCGCACCUCGUGUUUGGAACUGUUUGGGGUUAAGUCCCCGCCACAGACCGCCAACCCUUUAUCUCUUAUGGUUUGCCAGCGAAUUCCGGCUCGGGGAACUUCAAGCGGGAACUGGCCGGUAAUAAACUCGUGAGAAAGGGGGGGGGAUAGGCACCUCUAGAGGCCUC
rnacentral:rRNA from 1 species